AUACUUAACUGACAUGGGAGAUACCAUGUCAUGAAGGUGGUUUGCACUCUGGAUGUACUGACCCCUGCAAUUUCCCCAAAUGCAGGAAACUCGACUGCAUAAUUUGUGGUAACAGGGGACUGCGUUCAUGCUGUCUCCUG
rnacentral:snRNA from 1 species